UCAGUUAAAAGAUUCUAGAUACUAUUUUCGUUUAUAAUAUCUAACUAAAUGAACUUAAAAGAAUGGUCAUUGAUAUGUUUUCCUCCCAGGCUUGGAUCCUUAUUUCUCUCUCUUAAUUUUAUUGUCACAGACUGUUCUUUGGAGCUCCUCUCUGUUUCUCUGAUUCAUGCUCCACCCAAUUCUGCCCCGUCUGAACUCUCCACAGCCGAAGCUCUCAUGAAAGAUUAAGGGCCUGUUUGGCUCCUUAACUCAAAAACAGUUUUAUGUUCUAAAAAAUAGAAAAUUGUUUUUGGAAAACAAAUGAUGUGUUUGGCUUUAUUUUUUUAGAACAGUUUUUAAAAAACUGAGUUAAAAAAGACAAGAAUUUAGAAAACACCUUAUUUAUGUUUUCAAAAGUUGUUCUCAGUUCUCUCAUUUUUCUCUCUCGACGAAAAUAGAAGAAGCACAGUCCAUGAACUUUAAUGGAGCUGUGAGCUCCUUCUCCUCCAUCUCUCCACCUCUGAGGACAUUCUCCACGCACAAAUCAAUUGUUCUCUUCUGUACUGCUGACUGAAACGAAUUCUCUCAACAUUUUAAUUAUCAUAUCUUGAUGUUGCAGCUAGACCUUCACUCUGCCAUUUUCCAGGUUUUUUAAGGCACACCUAAAGGCAACACAAUAUCGCAAGAAAGGAUGUGAUAAUUUUGUAUUGUUGGAACUAAUUUUUAGUAAGUCAACUGCCACUAGUCAGUUCCAUCAUUCUGCUGCUUCAGGUCCGCCCAACACUAAUGAUGAAAAGGAAAUGGAGAAUGAAUUUGAUCGCAUAGACGUCCAUGAUAUUGAUGAGAAUGAUUCUACUAGUUGCUCUCGGCUAGUUGAUGAUGUUUUUAAACAUUCAACAAAAAAUUCAACAACUACAAGUACAGAGUGAAGAGCUAAGAGACAAAGAUCACAACAAAUGAGUGAUGCAAUUGUUGCAUGGACCGAGGUAGCUAAAGUAAUAGCAGAGGCCACUUUAGCUAAAGUUGAAAAAUACAAGAGUACAACCGAAGGAGGAGGAAGCAAAAAUCAUGAGUUUUCUCUCACAAAUUGUAUGCAAAUCCUCGAAGGAAUGGAAGAAGUCAGUGAUGAUGCCUACAUGAAAGCUGUUGAGAAAUUUAAGGAUCCAGAUUGGAGAGAGAUUUUUAUUAAUAUGUCUACUAAUAGAAAGAGAGCUUGGUUAGAUAGGCUUUGACUAUACUGUGAUAUGUUUGACUGUGUAGACUUUGAGUUUUACUUUAUGUGUGCUUGACAUUAUUAUAGUAUGUUAUGUUAAGAUAAUCUAGUGGAGACUUUGUUAUUGGUUUCAAAUACGUAUUGUUUUUUUCUAAGUUUAUUAUGCAUGUCAAAUAAUUUGUAGGAUUCAGAGUAAUCAAAUGGAUGAUUCUAGAUCAUCUUCUGCAGAUAGUGAUUUUUCAGAUUUUUUGAUGCUAAACUUUUUAAGUGAUUACAAUGAAAAGUUUAUUGAGAAAAUCCCUCAAAGAAUAUCUUCUUUAUGUGGAGAAGAUUUUGUGAGAGAGUUAUUAGGUGGUCAUGCGAGAACAUGCUAUGAAUUAUUGCGAAUGGAUAAAAAUGUAUUCAUCGAGCUAUGUACUUUUUUACAACAAAAGGAAUACAUUAAGGACACACGAGAGAUUAAAGUUGAAGAAGCAGUUGCCAUUUUCCUUAUAAUUGUUGGUCAAAAUGUGGGAAUGAGACUUAUAGCUGACCGAUUUCAACAUUCGCUUGAAACUAUUGAUAGGCACUUCCAUUUAACAUUAAAGGCAAUAUGUAAAUUAGGACAGGAUAUCAUUUGACCAACUCAAUCUCCGUUACCUUCUCAUAUUGUCAACUCCUCAAAAUACUACCCAUGGUUUCAGAAUUACAUUGGUGCCAUUGAUGGAACACAUGUGAGUGCAUGUGUCCCUACAGAGAAGCAAGUCAGUUACAGAGGCCAAAAAAACGUGGUAACACAAAAUGUCUUGUGUGCUUGUAACUUUGAAAUGUUCUUUACUUUUGUAUCUGCUGGUUGGGAGGGCUCCGCAAAUGAUUCCAGGGUGUUUAUAGAUGCAAUUACGCAACCUAAAUAUAAGUUUCCAUUGCCUAAAGAAGGUGAAUACUAUGUUUUGGAUUAUGGGUUUCCAUGCACAAAAGGUUUUCUCCCACCAUAUCGUAGUGAAAGAUAUCAUUUGCAAGAAUACAAUAGUGGACGUAAUCGACCACGUGGUAUGAAAGAACUAUUCAAUUAUAGGCAUUCUUCUCUUAGGAAUGUCAUUGAACGGUGCUUUGGUGUACUAAAAGCACAUUUUCCUAUAUUAAAGAUGAUGCCACCUUACAAAUUGAGUAGACAACCUUUGAUAGUUAUUGCUUGCUGCACUCUUCAUAAUUUUAUUCGUCAACGCACACAGUAUGAUCAUAUGUUUAGAGAAUGGGAAGAGAAAGAACUUGAGGGUGAAGACAACUUAGAGGAAGCUAACACUAGUGUGUCAAGAUGUGAAGUCAAUUUAUCUGAUGAAUCUGCUGUAGCAAUGGCAAGAUGUCGAGAUCGUAUUGCUCAAGCUAUGUGGACGGCUUAUAAUAAUAUAAAUUAGUCAACUAUAUUUUAUUACUAUAAAAUAAUUUUAGUAUUCAAAUUGUGUUUAUGGGGACAUAUUGUAGAUUAAUGGUGAUUUUCUAUAUACUUUAGAUUAAAUAUUUUA